rnacentral:lncRNA from 1 species
AUUUAAAAUUGUUCUCCACUGCCUUUCCGAGGUGCCUGCUGAGAGUGGGGCUAACUUAGGUCCAGCUUGACUUCUGUAUUCUUUAGCUGUAUUUAUUUCCUCUGGUUGUGAUCAUUUCAAACAAGGUGAUGGGUUGUAUGCAAACCUCAGGCAGUUGUUGGAUCUUUUCUCAGGCCCUGUCAGUAGGCAGGGGGCCCUGGACUUUGGUUUUGCUUUGUGCACUGGACUUUGAUCCUGGAUAAUGCCUGAGGCACUUUUGGGCCCUGUUACUAGAGAACUCUAAAUCCAGACCCUCUCCUCUUUACUCAUUCCUUGAUCUUAGCAGGACACAGCUUUGGCCCCUGUCUGCUUCAGCAUUUUCUAUUCAUAUUUUGUCUGACCCAUGGAAAUGUUUUUCUAGCUUAAGGUUAAAUCAUUUCUUUUUAUUUCAUUUUUUACCUACUGUUAGUCCUGGCGUUUUUGAAGAGAAAGGAACAUUUAAAUGCAUGAAUGAUAUUCUUAUCUUGGCCAGAGGUCCCUGGUUUCUUUUUAAGAUUCCAUCAUAAUACUUAGAAUACAGCAGCAAAAUAUCCUUCACACAUCUGUGGCUUCUUCAUCCCUCAAUUUACUUCCCCAAAGUCUGCAGUGUUUGUUGGAUCCUUAAGAGUUUAUAGAAACUCCUCUCAGGAAACUCACCCAUGAUCUCUGCAUGCCCCACUGUCAGGUGAACAUUUCCAUCUUCAACCUCUGCAACAGUGUGUAUUUACCAGACUCCUUCUGCUUUACAUGGCUUUCCCUUCUAUGACCUUCAUAGAUUACACAAAGUAUGAUCCUGGAGUAAGUAUAUGCACAUUGAAUAAAAAAAAAAAAAGUGAUGUAAGCCUCCUAUUUUACUCAUAUAUAACACUUUCUUUGUCCUAUAGCACAGUGAAGAUAAAUACCUUAGCCUAAAACUUUUAAAUCAGUACCUUUCUACUAACUGUGUACAGUAAACUUAAUAUAUAUAGUUUUGUUUUGUUUUCCCCAAAGAGUUAAGCAAAAUUUUGACAUGUGAAGGAAAUAGAAAGUUGGCCCCAAGGAACUUCCCUUACUGUUCCCCUACCUGCCCUGCCCUCCCCUGCCAUGCCCUAAAUGAGUCUGCCACCAAAACUUCUCCCAUGACCUGUCCCUGCCAGCCAAAAGGCCAGCUAAAAGCAACUAACUUCUUCCAUGACCUGGCUCUGCCAAGGCCCUAUAAACUCAGACCGUAGAGGUGGAUCACUGCCAUUUUCCCCAGAAGAUGUAUGUCCCCUUCUGGUGCUGAAUAAAGCAUCAUUAAUCCAUGAAGUCUUCCUCCAUUUUUUUUUCUUUUUGUAUUGUCUUUCAUGUGCUUUCAACUUCAAUGAUCUUACUUCCCAGGGUACAAGCAGACUACAGAAGACAAAUGGAACAUUUUUUUUUAUUUUAAUUUUAAGGUUGUUUUAAAUAUUAUGGUAUAGAAGAACUUUUGGAUGCUUUGAAUAUUUUUUUCUGAGUAGCAGAGAUUGGACUCGGUCGGUGCACUUGACCACUGAACCACAUGUCCAGCCCUAUUUUGUAUUUUAUUUAGAGACAGGGUCUCAAUGAGUUGCUUAGUCCCUGGCUUUUGCUGAGGCUGGCUUUGAACUCAUGAUCCUCCUGCCUCAGCCUCCAGAGCCACUGGGAUUACAUAAGCAUUACAGGCAUUCACCACUGCACCUGGCAGAUGUGCUGUAUUUUUAUUCUAUCUUGUUGCAUGUAGAAAAAUGUUGAUAUAAGUUAAAACAAUGAGUACAUUUAACAAGUUUGAUUCUAGGCACAAUAUUAAACUCUGGGUAGCAUAUCAUACUAGCACAGUACUUUUAAUUUAAAUGUUAUACAGAUGGAGAUUUAGAUGUAGUCUUUAGAAAUGAUACAAUGGAACCAUGUAAAAUUCACCAGCUUACCCAAGUGGUAAUAUUUUUCAAAAGUAUAGAGUAAUAUUGCAAUCAGGAUAUUAAAACUCAUAAAAUCCACUGAUUUUAUUCAGAUUUCCUCAUUGUGUGUCUGUGUAAUUCUGUCACCUAUAUAGAGCAUGUAUCUCCCACUGAUACUGGUCUUGGAGAUCAGGAUCUCAAGAUUCGGUCCUCAUUACCCAAGAAACACGGUGGCAAGAAUAGAAAACAAGUUUUAUUUAAGAGCAGGAGAAAGACUUCUCCAGAAAGAAGGAGGCCCAGAACUGAGUCUCCACAGGAGUGGGUGUGUCUUGCUCUUUUGUAGACUCCCAGAAUCCGCCCACCUUUUCUUUCUUUUCCCUGUAUAAGCCUAAGAAAAGGAAAGAGUAGCACUGUGAGUAGUCAGUCUCACUUGUGCUAUCCCCAGAGGUUUUAUCAGGGAGAGUCAUUCCAAAG